AUCUGCUUUAGAAAAGAAACAUUCAGUUAUCUGUUGAAUUUCCAUAUUCUGAUAUAUCUUUCAUUGUGUGUUGUGACGACCUUUUGCAUUCCAACAGCCAAGCAUCUUACAGAAGGUUGAGAAGUUCUAGGAAUGAGAUCAAUGUGAGUGUCUUCUGAGAGCCUUCUUGCUUUCUUUACUUGGACGACUCCAUAUGAAUCUCUCGAGGAGUUUGAUAUGCUGCUGCUGCUUUCAUUCAUAAUGCACCUUGAAAAAGCCUCACCUGAGUCCUGCUCCAAGAAUCGUAACACACCAUCUAUUCCACCCACAACUAAUGUUGAUUUGUCACUUCGCAAGUGAUGCAUAGAAUAUAUAACAUUUGGACUCACUCGGGUAUUCCAUAAAGUCCUCAUUGUCCUCCAGAAUUGGUUGACCUUAAUGCAGCUACCCGCUGAUCAGAGGAAAGAUCUG